UAAGGAAUAUUGGUCAAUGGACGCAAGUCUGAACCAGCCAUGCCGCGUGGAGGAUUAAGGCCCUCUGGGUUGUAAACUCCUUUUAUCUGGGAAGAACUCCACGUUUUCUAAUGUGGUUGACGGUACCAGAGGAAUAAGCACCGGCUAACUCCGUGCCAGCAGCCGCGGUAAUACGGAGGGUGCAAGCGUUAUCCGGAUUCACUGGGUUUAAAGGGUGCGUAGGCGGGCAGGUAAGUCCGUGGUGAAAUCUCUGAGCUUAACUCAGAAACUGCCAUGGAUACUAUUUGUCUUGAAUAUUGUGGAGGUAAGCGGAAUAUGUCAUGUAGCGGUGAAAUGCUUAGAUAUGACAUAGAACACCAAUUGCGAAGGCAGCUUGCUACACAGUUAUUGACGCUGAGGCACGAAAGCGUGGGGAUCAAACAGGAUUAGAUACCCUGGUAGUCCACGCCCUAAACGAUGAUUACUCGACAUCAGCGAUACACUGUUGGUGUCUGAGCGAAAGCAUUAAGUAAUCCACCUGGGAAGUACGAUCGCAAGAUUGA
rnacentral:rRNA from 1 species